AUCUGGCAAAUAGUGGAUCCUCUGCACAUCACUGUGGAGAAGUUCACAAGGGAAGCUCCAAAAGAGGACCUGGAUGUCCUGAUCCAGCCUCUCCUGGAGCAUUGCAGCUCAGAGAAGAUGACCACUUGGCUUGGGGUGGUGUACGGCUAUAAAGGACUUCUGCUGCUGCUCGGCAUCUUCCUGGCCUAUGAAACCAAAUCCAUCUCCACGGAGAAGAUCAACGAUCACCGAGCUGUCGGCAUGGCCAUCUACAAUGUAGCUGUAAGUUUGUUUCACUUCCUUUUGAAUGAUAUGAUUCUAUGUGGGAGUUUGAAAGCUGUAAUGCUACAAUAAAUACCAGUAAUUUCCAACUCCAAGAGUCACUCCAAGAAACUGCAGUUCAAAGGUUGAUAUUUAGAAGAAUGAAUUCCAUUUGAAACGGUUUGUAGUUGUGACCUAGAAGCUCAAAACUGUUUUUUUCUUCAUAACUUUAUUGCAAACAUCAAUGUCAACACAGAAAAAAGUGCAAAAUAGCCAUGUACGUGUAUACAAACAUUAGAAAACUAUUUAAUAAAAAUAAAUAAAUAA